UGAGCGAAGCCGCGCGCGCAGCCUGAGCCGAGCCCCUAUCGAUCUCGGGCACUGGUCGACCCCGUGCACUGUAGGAAUGUCGUACGUGAGCUAGACUCCUCCAGGAACCCUACCGAAGCCGUUUCCCCAUCGCCCCUCGUCCACACGCCUCUGCUUGGCGAUUUGGAUCUCGCCAGGAGCUCCACCGUCUGCCGCCGUUCGCCGAAAGAUUGUGCCGCCAGCACCAGAACGCUGCCGCCGCCGGAGCACACCACCGUUCCCGUCGUCGUUGCUGCCCGCAGAGGACGCCCCGUCGCCGCCCGACCUCACCUACGCCUCCGUCACUCGACGCUGCACCCGUCCGUCCCUUCGUCUUCGCCGGAGACCCACCGGAGGAGCGCCGCCGCCGCCGCCCUCUCCUUUUGAUUGUCCGGAGUGCGACGCGAUCUAUUUUCAGGAGUGUGACUUUCUGAACCAGAACCAAG